CUACGGAGGGGGCUAGCGUUAUUCGGAAUUACUGGGCGUAAAGCGCACGUAGGCGGCGUAUCAAGUUAGAGGUGAAAGCCCAGGGCUCAACCCUGGAAUUGCCUUUAAGACUGAUAUGCUUGAGGUCGGAAGAGGGUAGUGGAAUUCCAAGUGUAGAGGUGAAAUUCGUAGAUAUUUGGAAGAACGCCAGUGGCGAAGGCGGCUACCUGGUCCGAUACUGACGCUGAGGUGCGAAAGCGUGGGGAGCAAACAGGAUUAGAAACCCUAGUAGUCC
rnacentral:rRNA from 1 species